rnacentral:lncRNA from 1 species
UGACCUUUAGUACCGUGGUCAGGAACCCCCCUUAGUACCGGGCACCUGACCGAUGCCGUUUGUUUCAACUUUAGUACUAAACGACCGGUACUAACCAUCCGGUACUAACCGACCAGUACUAAACGGCUUUGCGUCCAAAAAAUAAGGAAAAAAAUUGACAAACAGCCAGGAGGUCCCCGCGCACGCGUAUCGUCGCAAGUCACAAGUCACGCAAAUUUCACGCGUAUGUUUUCCUUUGGAAAUAACCCGUGGAGAGGCCUUUUAGUCACCAUUUAGUACCAGUCGGUGUUAUUGACCCUAAAUGGUACUCCACGAGGUACUAGUGUUAUUGUCCGGUAGUAAAUGGUCGAUGCCUUUUAGUACCGGUCAAUAACACCCGGUCGGUGACAUUUAGUACCGGUCGGUG